rnacentral:snRNA from 1 species
GUGCUCGCUUCAGCAACACAUAUACUAAAAUUGGAAUGAUACAGAGAAGAUUAGUGUGGCUCCUGAGCAAGGAUGAAACGCAAAUUCGUGAAGCAUUCCAUAUUUUU